UAAGCGAAGUCUUUGGAUUAAAUUUAAAGAAGGUAUUUCACAAUUAUUGUCACCUAUCUUAUAAAAUAGAAAUAUGAGGAGUGUAACUUUAAUGCAACAAUCAGACGUCAUUAGUGCUGC
rnacentral:sRNA from 1 species